UAUAUAUAUAUAUAUAUUACUCAAUCAUCUGUCCUGGCAAGACAUAGCCUUACAUAUUACACGCGACAAUAUAUUGCGCAGUGACUUAUGGGGCUGGCACAAAUUUUUUUUCCAGGGCUGCUUUGUAUCCCCAGUCCGGCCCUGAAUGUGACGACAGAUAAGAAUCUUUCGGCCCAUGUAGUCUGCCCAAUUUUCUAAAUAAUCUCAUUAGUCCCUG